rnacentral:rRNA from 1 species
GAUGAACGCUGGCUACAGGCUUAACACAUGCAAGUCGAGGGGAAACGACGGGGAAGCUUGCUUCCCCGGGCGUCGACCGGCGCACGGGUGAGUAACGCGUAUCCAACCUGCCUCUGACUGAGGGAUAACCCGUCGAAAGUCGGCCUAAUACCUCAUGGCAUCGUCUGCGGGCAUCCAACGACGAUUAAAGAUUUCAUCGGUCAGAGAUGGGGAUGCGUCUGAUUAGCUUGUUGGCGGGGUAACGGCCCACCAAGGCGACGAUCAGUAGGGGUUCUGAGAGGAAGGUCCCCCACAAUGGAACUGAGACACAGACCAAACUCGUACGGGGGGCAGCAGUGAGGAAUAUUGGUCAAUGGGGGAGAGCCUGAACCAGCCAAGUAGCGUGCAGGAGGACGGCCCUAUGGGUUGUAAACUGCUUUUAUGCGGGGAUAAAGUGAGGGACGUGUCCUUCAUUGCAGGUACCGCAUGAAUAAGGACCGGCUAAUUCCGUG